ACACUAUCACCGCCAGGUAUUACGAGCAAAAGCUUAAAACCCAAAGGACUUGACGGNNUCCCACCCACCUAGAGGAGCCUGUUCUAUAAUCGACACCACCCGCUAUACCCCACUGCUUUUUGCAUAUCAGCCUGUAUACCUCCGUCGCAAGCCUGCCAUAUGAAKGUCUUAAAGCAAGCCCAAUGAUUCAYUCACCCCAACGUCAGGUCAAGGUGCAGCCCACAAAGCAGUUCGAAAUGGGCUACAAUUUCUAUAUUAGAACAAACGAAAGGCCACAUGAAAUCUAGCCAUGAAGGCGGAUUUAGUAGUAAANAGAAAAUAGAGAGUUCUUUUUAAUAAGGCACUGGGACAUGUACACACCGCCCGUCACCCUCUUCAACACUCUAUUAAUUGUUAUAUAACAAAUCUUACUAAAUAAGAAGAGGCAAGUCGUAACAAGGUAAGCGUACCGGAAGGUGCGCUUGGCAUAAU
rnacentral:rRNA from 1 species